rnacentral:ncRNA from 2 species
AUAUUUGUUGCACGUUUUGGUGUUCCGGUCGGGAGGCCUCUCGAUCGGGAUGAAAAGGGAAUCAGGUGUAAAUCCUGAACAGGACCCGCUGCUGUAAACUCAUUCAAGCGUUUUCGCAAUUCUUUUUGCCACUUUUAUCUAUUCGUAAAGGGAAGGCUGCCGGAAACAGAGUAAGUCAGAAGACCUGCCAAAAUGGAAAAUAAAUU